rnacentral:lncRNA from 1 species
UCAUAUAUUACAAUUAUCGAACGAAGGUCAUUUCCGAGAAAACGAUAAAUGUGACAAUCACUCACAUGACAGUUGGCAUGGUAUAAGCAAGUAAAUACUUCUCAAAAAAUAUUUGAAACACACAUUGCGGAAGAUUGAGAUUGAGAAAGUAAAAGUGUUUUAGUAAAUCCAGACAAGGGGAUGUUAUCUGAUAUGUGUGCUCAUAAAAACGGCAACAUGAAAAGCAUUUACCAGAUACAUUGUCGUCUGUUUCGACUGAGGCCGAAGAUACGAUAAUAUGACCUAGGACACCAAAAACAGACUCAUCAGAGUUGUAUCACUGCCUGCUAGUACAGUGGACUAGUGGUUGAGGUGUGUUCCCGUUUUAUGCAGGACUUCUGGAUUGACAGUUGUAUGUCUGUACAUUAUGGUUUUCAGAGGGUUCUUUGGCAGAGACAGCAAGAUAACUGACAGAAGUUUCCCAAUUGCGAGUUCUGUGACAGUCAGUAGAGAACACGAAUACACCAGACAUUUUCCUGAAGUAUUGGAAAUGGUCAGAAAUCAACCAGACAUUCAUAACCAGGCUUUUACUGUAUAAUACAUCAACCAACAAGCUUUUCAACUAAGAAGGUUGUUGAAGAAAACAGAAUUGGAGGGUUUCUUUAGAAACAUAUCCUGUUCCAAGACUGCAUUCAGGUGACAGAGUGUCUGUAAACUUGCUGAAACAAUUAUGACUGACAACUAGAUUACCAUCUUGGAUGAAGCAGGAAGCAGGCACUGUCCAAACAGGAAGUUGAAUUAUGGGAUAUGACAAGAGAUAGAGAGCAGACGUGUGCCAUGGAGACAGAUGUCUACAGAUGUUGAGAACUUGUGGCAGGAGAAAACUGAAGUCUUCAUAAAAUAUAAAAAUGAUUUUUAUAGGGCAAAUCAUGCAGCUUAACAAGUGAGACAGUGUUGCAGAAUGGCAAAAGAACUUUUGGAAGGUUGGAGAACAAAACAUUGAGGCAGGAUGACAAAACCCAUUUGCUAAACAGGAUGGUAGAAUUCCCAAGUCAAGCACUUUGAACAUUAAACAAGUUGUUCAGGCAGAAUGACAAAACUAAAUGCUUUGAACAUAACAAAAAUAAGAUGGCAGAAUGCUGAUAGCCAAAUGCUCUGAAUGUUGAGAAACAAGACGAGGCAGAAUGCUGAUAGCCAAAUGCUCUGAAUGUUGAGAAACAAGACGAGGCAGAAUGCUGAUAGCCAAAUGCUCUGAAUGUUGAGAAACAACAUAGUAAAAUGCCACAAGCCAAAAAAACAAAUUGAAGGUUAAGAAACAAGAGUAUAAAACAGAAUGACUAAACCAAAAUGCUUUAAAUGCUAAACAAAAUUACAGAAGGCCAACAAGUUAAGGAACAAGACAUUGAAACAUAAUGGCAAUACCAGAAAGACAAAACCCAAAGAUUUUAACUUCAAAAAACAAGAUGGCAAAAACCACGUUGAGACAGGGUUAAUAGACAUGGAAUGUCCAUUUAGGUUGUAUCAUCAGUUUAUAGACAUGGAAUGUCGAUUUUGGUUGUAUCAACAGUCUACAGACAUGAAAUGUCCAUUUAGGUUGUAUCAUCAAUUUAUAGACAUGAAAUGUCCAUUUAGGUUGUAUCAUCAGUUUUUAGACAUGGAAUGUCCAUUUAGGUUGUAUCAGCAGUCUACAGACAUGAAAUGUCCAUUUAGGUUGUAUCAUCCGUUUAUAAUUUUGGAAUGUCCAUUUAGGUUGUAUAAUCAGUUUAUAGACAUGGAAUGUCCAUUUAGGUUGUAUCAAUAGUUUACAGACAUGAAAUGUCCAGCUGGGUUGUAUCCAGUCUAUUGACAUGUUUAGGGCUGAAAAAUGUUGUAACAUGUAAUUUAAAGGACAAGUUAUAUCUGUUUUGUGUUAAGAACUUACAAGUGGGGGUGUUUUUGUAGGGUUUUAAUUGCAGUUACAUCUUGUUAGACAACAGUUAUUCUGCUUGUCAUCUCUGUGAAGAUUCAUAUAUCAAGCUAUUCUUAGCAGAUCUAUUCUAGGCAAAUUGUUGUAGAAUAGUUACUCACUACUCAGUGAUACAAAUUCUUUAUAAUAUUAGAACACAAUUUCCUACUCUAUUCAAGGUCAGAAAUCAGCAUGUGACAUGUUUGGGAUGAAAAUAUUGUUUUGUCCAAACUCUUGUUUUAUUACAGUUUGUUAAUGUACAAAUACAUUUUGUAUUGAUUUACUUUGACCAGUUUCGUUUUGACUGAAAUUAGUCAAUGUUCAUGCAACUUUACAUGACAAAUUUGGUAAAUGAGCAAAUUAAUGCAGACUCUGGCUUAAGGUCAUUAAUUGUUGCAUGCUAUUAUAAAAUAAAUAGCAAUAAACUGGUAAAAGAUGAUGUAAGAAAUAGGUAAAAUGCUGGAUUGACAAUACAGCCUUUAAAACAUUCUUUAUAUCUGAAAGCUGAAUUUUUUACUUGAUGAUUUGCAAUAUUUCAGGUUGAAUCUGAAUUCUAAUUGAGUUUUGACAGCUGUAGAAAUUUAAAACAUGUCUGUGAAUAAUCUGUACUGUUUACAAAACAAACUAUUUUUUCAUUUACCUAGUUUGGCUGUGUUUUAGAGCUUUAUAAUUACUUUGAGAAUAUGUGCACAAAAUGUAAGCUGCUUAUUGAGAGAAGGAUGCAAGCACACUAGGUCUUUCUCUAUAGUAGUUUAACCUUUAGCCUGCUGGCGGCAAGUGAUUCUGCCUUUGUGACCAAUGCAGCUCAAGAUCAGCCUGCAUGUCCGUGUAGGCUGAUCAUAGUCUGCACUGUUUGCUAUUCAGUCAGUAAGUUUUCAGUGAACACCCCUUUGAAUAAGAAUUGGUACUACCCAAAUUAAAUGAUGGAUCAGUCCAUUUUAUAAAUAUAGCAGGAGAAAGGUUAAAAUCUGUGGAAUAACAAUUAACAGGUAUACUUUGCAUGAAAUAGUUGUUCUGCUUUAUGCUUUAGUGUCUAUGUCAGCUUCACACCUUUAGCCCUUACUCUGCUAAAUUUCUAUAAUGAACUUAUCCUCUUUCAUUUUGGACAGUACCAUUAACUGUAAAAAGGGGUGCUUACCAUGCGAAAAGAUACUGACUGAAUGGCGAACAGUGCAGAUCUUGGUCAGACUGCAGGGAUGUGCAAGCUGAUCAUGAUCUACUCUGGUCACACAGGCAGAAUCAAUCAUGUCCAUCAUGAUAAGGGUUAAAGUCGAUGGCCCACGAGUAUCUGUCAGGCUUUUCUUACCCAGACACAGGCUGGCCGCAAGGUGGAAUCACUAUCUUUGUGUUGCUCGGCCAGAUAAUGAAAAUAAAAAGCAUAGCACUGUGUGUAUAUAUAUAUAUAUAUAUAUAUAUAUAUAUAUAUAUAUAUAUAUAUAUAUAUAUAUAUAUAUAUAUAUAUGUACGUGUACGAAAUAAGGAACAUAUGCAUGUUCUACCUAACAUAAAAUAUUUGAUAUAAAAUUUUAUACUAAUAAAUUAUUAUUAAAGAGAUACUUUGAAAUCAUACAAUGCAUAAAUUAAAACUGAAUAAAAUAGACUUCAAGUACAUUAAAACAUGGAUCACUGGAGAUCACAAUGGGGAGAGCAGUUAAACUGCUCGGCUGUCUAGGUUUUGGAUCACUAAACAUACAAAAUGUUACAAGAACAGCUCGGAACCAAAUGAACUGCUCAAUUGAGCCAAGUUUCUGAGUCAAGUUGUGAUGCAGGAGCAAGGCAGUGUACCACUUUAAAUUAACUUUAUACAUUUAAUUACAUUAAAACAAAAAUAAUAUAGAGCAGGAGCAUGUUUUAAUAAAUUUAAACACAACAAAUGGUUGCAGAUUCUGUUGAAUAGUUAACAAGUAUGACUGAUUUAGAGUGUUCUGAAAUAUAUUAUUUUGAUUCUGAUAUGAGCCGUGCCAUGAGAAAAGCAACAUAGUGGCUUUGCGACCAGCAUGGAUCCAGACCAGCCUUGCGCAUCUGCG